AACGAACGCUGGCGGCAGGCUUAACACAUGCAAGUCGAGCGGUAACAGGCCGCAAGGUGCUGACGAGUGGCGAACGGGUGAGUAAUGCAUCGGAACGUGCCCAGUCGUGGGGGAUAACGCAGCGAAAGCUGCGCUAAUACCGCAUACGAUCUAUGGAUGCAAGCGGGGGACCGUAAGGCCUCGCGCGAUUGGAGCGGCCGAUGGCAGAUUAGGUAGUUGGUGGGGUAAAGGCUCACCAAGCCAACGAUCUGUAGCCGGUCUGAGAGGACGACCAGCCACACUUGGGCUGGGUCAUGGCCCAUACUCCGACGGGGGGCAACAGUGGGGAAUUUUGUACAAUGGGCGCAAGCCUGAUCCAGCAAUGCCGCGUGCAGGAAGAAGGCCUUCGGGUUGUAAACUGCUUUUGUACGGAACGAAAAGGCUCUGGGUAAUACCUGGGGCUCAUGACGGUACCGUAACAAUAAGCACCGGCUAACUACGUUCCAGCAGCCGCCGUAAUAC
rnacentral:rRNA from 1 species